CUCCCCUCUCCACUGAGGGCUGAUUUCAUCACUCAACAAAAUUCUCCGAAUUCACCAUCCUUCAGUUCAUCCACAUGACCUCAUUCCUCUUGGGCACCGGACAAGAAUUUGGGAUGCACCAAAUGCAGGGGUACAAGCAAUUUUCCAGUCUUGACCCUUUAUCUGUUGACCAAGCUAAGGCAGAAACCAGCUAAAUUCUGGAUUUAAUCUUGAGCAGCAAAAAAGAUCAGCUUUUGAAGUGGAUCUGCUUUUAUUCUUGGCAAAAGUUCAGCGGAGACCAACCAGAGUGGUGACAAAGUUCUUCAACAUCAAGCCAAAUGUAAUACAAGGAAUUACGGAUAGUGCUUAAUCUAAAAUAAAGAAAUUCCACAUCUCCCUAAAAAGUUAUUGGCUUCAAGAAUGAAAACAAAAGAAGCAUAUUUGUCUCAAUCCAAACACAGACACCAGAAAGACAAACCAGGAGUAUACAGCAAAGUAGCUUGCAGGAUAAUACAUUGAAAAAUGUAAUUGUGCAUAAAUCAUGCACAAAGUAGAAACCACAAAUUCUGUAUUUGGCAAGGCUUCGGUUCCUUUGCAUAAUUCUUUCAUUUUCAUCUUGCUGCUUCCAUUCUCUUUUCAUCAAAAAAAGCUACAUAAAACAAAGACAUAAACUGUAUGCAAUUAAAAUGAGAAAAUAGCUGAAAGGAAUGUAUUGAUAAUUAUGUUAAAAUCUAUACCAUAAGUAUUCUUGCAUUGUUAAGCAUCUAAUUUUUCAUGUGUUGACAUCAGCAUCUCAGUUCUCUCUAACAUCUGAAAGCUUUUUUUUUUAAGGCAACUUCUUUUAGAGUGAACAAACUUAUGUACCACCGAGUUGACAAAAGUAUAACUAUAUCCUACAGAAAGAGACCUCAAGUAAACCUCCAGCAGCCAUCUGGACUUCCAUGAAAACAGAACAAUCAGUGAGAUGCAGAGCUUGGAGGAGACAGUUUCCAUAGACUGAAGCACGUGCUGAAGCAAAGUUCACACUUGCAGGAUUAGAAGAGGUUGACCGAAAGAAGGAAGGACAUGGACAGCUAUGUUGUUGUGGAGUCCUGUUUUAUAGUCAUAACCUUGAGUCAAGUGAGUUUGUCUGGACAGACAGAGCUUGUUGCCUUUACUUAUAGGGAAGGCACCGGACACAGACAGCCUCAAGGACAUUUGUUCUAGCCUUUCAGUAUCCUUUCUCUUAAUUAUCUCACCUCAUCCAUGAAGCUGGUAUGUACGAUUUUUCCUUUCUUUCUCAAUCCUUUAAAAAAUUAAAGCUCUAAAUCUCAUUUCCACUUAGAUUUUAAUGUUGCAUUGUAACUUAAGAUAAAACCUUGCUCUGAUGUUAAAAAUACUAAAGUAAGAAGCAAUAUGGCAUAGUGCUUAUGAGCAGGACUACAUAGUUCUUUCUGAAUACAAAUCUCAGAUAAAACACUAUCUCAGUGAUCAACCAGGUUAAGCAACCUUUUUAGUGCCUCAAUUAUUCCAUUUGUAAAAUUGUAAUAAUGAUAGUACUAACCUAUAAGAUUGUGGUGAGGAUUAAGUCAGAUAAUACAAAAGAAGCAUUUAGAGUAUUUCCUGGCAUUAUCUACCAUUUAUUGAAUUUUUAUGGUUAAGAAGAAUAAGGAAAAGCAGAAGAAAAGGAAAAGAGAAAAAAUACAUAAGAAGAAGGAAGAGUGGUAAGCUCUAGUAAAUUACAACAAACGGUAACGUAGAAAACAUUUGUUAGCCCUUAAUAUAGGCCAGGCACUGUGUUCAAUGCUUAAACCUCAUUACUGUUCUUUGAAGUGGAUAACAUUAUUCCUUCCAUUUUAAAGAAAGGAAUACUAAAGACAACUUUGUCAAUAUUAUUCAUGUAAUAAAUGACAGAAUUUGACCAAGACAAUAGAGAAUGAACUCUUAAUCACUAUAUUGUUUUAUUUUUUGAAAAUAGAUUUUAAGUUCUUAUUAAAUGUUAAUGACUCACAUCAAAAUAAAGCCAAUCAAAAU
rnacentral:lncRNA from 1 species